UACGUAGGGGGCAAGCGUUGUCCGGAUUCAUUGGGCGUAAAGAGCGUGUAGGCGGCCAGGUAGGUCCGUUGUGAAAACUCGAGGCUCAACCUCGAGACGUCGAUGGAAACCAUCUGGCUAGAGUCCGGAAGAGGAGAGUGGAAUUCCCGGUGUAGCGGUGAAAUGCGCAGAUAUCAGGAGGAACACCGAUGGCGAAGGCAGGUCUCUGGGCCGAUACUGACGCUGAGGAGCGAAAGCGUGGGGAGCGAACAGG
rnacentral:rRNA from 1 species